AUGCGGUGGAAGCUCGGCACCGCGGCGUACAAGCGCGUGCCGUCCCGGGACGCCGCCAUGGAUCCCGACCUCGAGACGCCAGAUCCGGCAGCAGAGAAGACGCCCGACGGCGGAGGCGGAGGAGCAGGGGCAGGGGCAGGCCCGUCGUGGCGCAGGUCGCUGCCGCACGUGUGCGUCGCCACGGUCACCUCCUUCCUCUUCGGCUACCACACAGGGGUGGUGAACGAGCCGCUCGAGAGCAUCUCCGCCGACCUCGGAUUCGCCGGAAACACGCUGGCCGAAGGGCUUGUGGUCAGCAUAUGCUUGGGGGGAGCGUUCGUCGGGUGCCUCUUCAGCGGCUCUGUCGCCGACGGAAUCGGCCGGCGCCGCGCUUUUCAGCUCAGCACCCUGCCCAUGAUCGUCGGAGCCGCCUUAAGUGCUCUCACCAACAGCCUGGAAGGAAUGCUAUUUGGAAGAUUAUUGGUUGGAGCAGGAAUGGGGUUGGGUCCACCGGUGGCUUCACUCUAUAUAACAGAGGUCUCUCCCCCCUCUGUGAGGGGUAUGUAUGGCAGCUUUGUUCAGAUUGCGACCUGUCUGGGAAUCUUAUUCUCUCUUCUAGUCGGUACCCCUGUCAAGGACAUUGAUAGAUGGUGGAGAGUGUGUUUCUGGGUUUCAGCUGUCCCAGCAGUUUUACAAGCUAUUGCUAUGGAGUUCUGUGUUGAGAGCCCCCAGUGGCUAUAUAAGUGUGGAAGAACAAACGAAGCAGAAAUGCAGUUUGAGAAGCUUCUAGGCCCUCUUCACGUAAAAUCUGCUAUGGCAGAACUUUCUCGAUCGGAGAGAGGAGAUGAUGGGGAAAGUGUGAAGUUCUCAGAGUUGUUUUAUGGUCGUCACUUCAAUGUUGUUUUUAUUGGCACAACGCUCUUUGCUUUACAACAGUUAUCGGGCAUAAAUUCUGUGUUCUAUUUCUCAUCAACGGUGUUCAGAAGUGUGGGGGUGCCCUCUAGCCUUGCCAAUAUAUGCAUGGGGAUUGCAAAUUUGUUAGGUUCUAUUAUAGCUAUGCUUCUAAUGGACAAACUAGGCAGGAAAAUGCUUCUUGUAGGAAGCUUCUUUUUCAUGGCCUUCUCAAUGGGACUUCAGGCUAUUGGAGCGAAUCGUCACCUUGGUUCUGCAAGUGUGUAUCUUUCGGUCGGUGGCAUACUGCUGUUUGUCUUGGCAUUUUCAUUGGGAGCAGGCCCAGUUCCAGGACUUCUUUUGCCUGAGAUUUUCCCAAACAAAAUUCGGGCCAAAGCUAUGGCUCUGUGUAUGUCAGUGCAUUGGGGUGUCAACUUCUUCGUCAGUUUGUUAUUCUUGCGGCUUCUGGAGCAACUUGGUCCACAGGUUCUGUACACGAUGUUCUCGUCAGCAUGUGUGGUAGGAGCAAUAUUUGUGCGGCGACACGUAGUCGAAACAAAGGGAAAAACUUUGCAGGAGAUAGAAGUUUCACUGUUGCAAACACAGUAA
rnacentral:rRNA from 1 species